GGUAAAGUCUCCUGCACCUCUAUCACUGGAGACACUCGGUCAUGCUGUGGGUUUGAGCUCAAACCUUAGACGUUUUAUCGUCGAGAGUGUGAUGUGAGGGAGGGUUAGAUGCCC
rnacentral:ncRNA from 1 species